CAGUUCUAGUACAUGCAAAAUUAAAGUGAAACCGCAAAGCGCUCAGUAAACCAGGUUUUAAUUUACUAGAGUACAUGCCUUUCGGGGUCGUGGAUAACUGUGGUAAUUCUAGAGCUAAUACAAGCAACCAAGCCCUGACCUUAAUUGGAAAGGGCACUUUUAUUAGACCAAAACCAAUCGCCCGGCUUGUCUGAGCGUUGGCUUGGUGACACUAGAUAACACCUCAGUUCGCACUGUCUCUGUACUGGCGACACAUCUUUCAAAUGCCUGACUUAUCAACUGUCGAUGGUAGACUCCUUGUCUACCAUGGUAGUUACGGGUAACGGGGAAUCAGGGUUCGAUUCCGGAGAGGGAGCCUGAGAAACGGCUACCACAUCCAAGGAAGGCAGCAGGCACGCAAAUUACCCAUUUCCAGAACGGAGAGGUAGUGACAAAAAAUAACGAUACGGGACUCUAUUGAGGCCCCGUAAUCGGAAUGAGUACACUUUAAAUCCUUUAACAAGGAUCCAUUGGAGGGCAAGUCUGGUGCCAGCAGCCGCGGUAAUUCCAGCUCCAAUAGCGUAUAUUAAAGUUGUUGCAGUUAAAAAGCUCGUAGUUGGUUUUGCGUGCCACGCUGCCGGUUCGCCGCCUGUCGGUGCAACUGGCACGCUGUGGCUCGUCCUGUCGGUGGUGAACGGGUCCCAGGCGUGUGGUCUUUGGUCUCGGCCGAAGCCGCUGCCGUGGGCAAACGUUUUGCCGAAACCCUGCCCGGUGCUCUUAAACGAGUGUCGAGGUAGGCCGACAAAUUCACUUUGAACAAAUUAGAGUGCUUCAAGCAGGGCUAAGAUUCCAGCCUGAAUAGUGGUGCAUGGAAUAAUGAAAUAGGACCUCGGUUCUGUUUUGUUGGUUUUUGGAACACAAGGUAAUGAUCAAUGUGGACAGGCGGGGGCAUACGUAUUGCGGCGUAGAGGGAAAUUCUUGGAUCGUCGCAAGACGCACUAUAGCGAAAGCAUUUGCCAAGUAUGUCUUAAUUGAUCAAGAAACGAAAGUUAGAGGUUCGAAGGCGAUCAGAUACCGCCCUAGUUCUAACCAUAAACGAUGCCAGCCAGCGAUCCGACGUGUUCCUACUACGACACGUGCGGGCAGCUUUUCCCCGGGAAACCAAAGCUCUUGGGUUCCGGGGGAAGUAUGGUUGCAAAGCUGAAACUUAAAGGAAUUGACGGAAGGGCACCACCAGGAGUGGAGCCUGCGGCUUAAUUUGACUCAACACGGGAAACCUCUCCAGGUCAGGACAUUGGGAGGAUUGAGCAGAUUGACAGCUCUUUCUUGAUUCAGUGGGUAGUGGUGCAUGGCCG
rnacentral:rRNA from 1 species